UACGUAGGUCGCAAGCGUUGUCCGGAUUUACUGGGCGUAAAGAGCGCGCAGGCGGCUGGUCAAGUCCGAUGUGAAAUCUCCCGGCUUAACUGGGAGACUGCAUCGGAAACUGAUCGGCUUGAAGGUGGGAGAGGGUAGUGGAAUUCCCGGUGUAGUGGUGAAAUGCGUAGAUAUCGGAAGGAACAUCAGUGGCGAAAGCGGCUUCCUGGACCAGCACCGACGUUCAGGCACGAAAGCGUGGGGAGCAAACAGG
rnacentral:rRNA from 1 species